ACCUACAAUUUGCUGCCUCAUUUCUCCCUCCCACCCCACAGUGCACGAGGUCAGAAGCUGGCUCUGACAAGCUGCCUGCACUGUGUACAAACAGGCUGGCAGAGCCCUUAGCUGACAGAGAGAGAGAGAGAGAGAGAGAGAGAGAGAGAGGCAGAGACACAAACAGGAAGCAGAAGACAAAGCUGUUGCUGUGAGCAGUGAAGAGUGUAAAAUAUACUGGAGGACUGGCAGCACGUUCUCAUGGCGGGAAAGAAGGAGAGGCAGGCCAGGGUCGUGAACCGACAUUCCCAGAGGAUCGCAGAAGCCAGUGGCAAGAUGUUCCCUGAGCUGCUCAGUGUUGGCAGUGCAGGAGGCACAAUAAUGUCAGUCGGUGAGAUUUGCAGCUGAGGAUCUUUUACAUCCCGGGACCAGCAGGUGAUUUCAUGAUUCCAUGGCAAACCAGAGUGGUUUCUACAGACAGUGAAGUACCUCUUAAAGUGGAGUCUCUGUUGUCACGGAGGGAAGGUGGGACCCAAAUUACACAGAGCAACCUCUCUGAAACAGCAUUGAGGUAUAAAGAUUCAGAUUCAGUUUAUUGUCAUUUAGAAACCACAAAUGCAAUGCAGUUAAAAAAUGAGACAACGUUCCUCCAGAAUGAUAUCAGAAAAGCACUUGACAAAACAGACUACACCAGAAAAUCCACAUAACGUUUGGCAAUCCCCAAUCCAGAGUCCAGAGAGGCUGCUGCAUAUUAAUAUCACGCUACCAUCUUAGCACGUUCCCCGGAGAGGAGCUCCAAUCCCACCAGACAAAACAAGACCAAAAACUAAAGAUACAAGACCUGCACAAAACCACAUAGUUACAACAUAUAGUUACAACAGUGCAAACAAUAGCAUAAUUGAUGAAAAAAAAACAGACCAUGGGCACAGUAAAAAUAAUCUGAAGAUGUUAAAAGACUAAGUUCAAAAGAAACCACCACACAGUUUCCACAAGUCCUCAGAGUCCCGAUAGACUCGUCAUCCCAUGCCAGCAGCAGAAGGGAAUCCCCCGCUAUGGACUUCCACGGCGCCGCCUGACUCAGCCUCGCAGACGCAGCACACACUGAAAGCGACCAGACUGCAGCGAGCUCCGAGUCCGUUGAACCUCCGAGCCUCUGACCAUCCCCACCGGCACAGCUUCUCCGAGCACCAUCCUCUGCCGAGCGAACUACGACACCCCCGCCAUCGGCAAUGCAAUCCCGAGGACUGGGGGCCUGUUCUUCCCAGCAGAGACCCGGACCUCACAGCAGCAGCAGCAAUGAAGAAGGUCUUCCUGGAGAUUUCCAGAUGUUCCUCCGUGCUUCCACGUCUGUUUUUCAUCGAUUAUGAUUGUGCACGGCACCCCGCUUCACAAAUAACAGAUAAUCAGCUCCGGAGUGGCCACUGCAAGCUGCGUCAUGCCACCAGCUUGGCGAUCAGACAUUCAGUCUGAUCAGACAAAGAGAUCAGACAUUCAGUGAUGCUGAUUGAGGCGUCAAUGUUGGGAUGCAUAGUGGAGAAAUUUCCAAAUCUUUUACAUUCACCUGACACAACAACCCCACCAAGACACCAGUCAAAAUGGUGAAUCAUUUUUUUCCUCCAAGAGCACCAAAAAUUUUUGUAGGGUUUGUGUGCCUCAAUAACCCAGAGAUCUAUGUUGACUUGAGUCAGGGUCUUGUGCUUUAGCUCUCGGUAGAGUCACCCAUGCUAAACAGGUCAAAGUGUAGAUGCCAGACGAAGAGUGAUCCACCAUUCCUCCAAGUUCGGAGUUUCAGGUCAGGGUUAGUGAACCUGACUAGUCAAAAAGAAAAAUAAUUUUUGUUACGAGACACUCCUAACCACCAGGAUUUAGACUGUCUGAUUCUGCAGAGUGUGGAUAGCUAGUAGCAGCCCUUCUACUGUUCAGGAUGAUCCCACUUAUUGACAAUCAUGUUUUGGGCUCCAAGAAUUGAGUAUUUAAAGAACAUCUGAGCUGAUGUUCGGUGCUCAAUCGUAAGCCCGACUGGUGACAUUGUCCAACGUUUGUUUUGUGCUCAGUUCCCAAUCCAGUUUGAUACUGUGUCUUGAACUUUGCUUCGGAUACUCCAGCAUUUGGGUCCAAACCAUCCUCAUCAAGGACUGUCAUCACAGUUACAGAAACAGAAAUGAGGAAUCCUACAUCUGAGUGCGAUGGUAUUCCCUAGUCACCACCCGGGACUUGCAUGGCUGACAGUAUUGAAAACUGGGAGAAAGCUACUGGCAUGGUAAAGGAAGCCAUGAACUUCACAAAGACCAAGAGCAAAAAUGUUUUUUGGAAAUGUACAAACCACGUACAACACUGCAAGCUCACACAAAUAACCACAGUAAUGUGUCUUUACAGCCAACAUACACUGGUGUCACUGAAAGCAGAUGGACAGGGUCUGGCAGAAUAAAGGCAGCAACUGGUGAAACAGUUCUAUAUUCAGGAAGGGAAGAUGGUCAGCAUCAUGAUGGUGUAGCUGUCAUUUUGAAGAAAGGCAUUGAGAAGUGCCCGCUGGAGUAAACAAUCAACAGUCGGCUGGUGAGAGUCAGGCUGAGAGUGAAGCAAGUGAACAUGACUGUGAUCCAGUGCUAUGCUCCAAGUAACAGUAGUGACAUUGAAGAAAAGGACACCUUCUACAAACAACGGAGGUAGAGUUAACACCACACCAUGAUGUAAUCAUCAUAGGAGUUCUGAAUGGCAUAGUGGGAAAUAACAACUGACACUUCACUAGGGUCAUGGGCACACAAGGAAGUGAGACAAUGAAUAGCAAUGGACAGUAACGGUGAAAGACUGGUGGAAUUCUGUGCCGUGAACAAUUUGGUCAUAGGAUGACUCUCUUUCCACAAACUGACAUUGUGUUCGCCCAAUGGAUGUGAUAAGAUCCAGAUUGACUAUUUGAUGAUCUUUGGUAUGUGGAGCCGACCCUAGCAAGGUAUAAAGGUGAAGAGGAGUGCAGAUACAGGAAGUAAUCACAAACUUGUUGUAGCAAUGAUGAAACUCAUGCUGAGAAGAACUGGACUAGAGCAUAUGUACAAAGACAUUUUGAUGUUGAGUUCAAGGACACCAGUGUGCAAUCUGCUGUCACCAUUCAACUUAAGAACAGAUUUCAGGCCUUUGACGAGGAUGUGUCAGUGUUCAAGGGAAUCAGCGAGACUUGUCUACAUUACAGAGCUGGAAAGAAAAACAAAGAAUGGAUACUGCAGGAAACAUGAACAGCCUUAGAAGAAAGAUGGAAAAUCAGGAGGAAAGUGUUUGAUGCAAAGUCAACACAAAUUAAGGUGAAACUUCAACUGGCAAGAAAGUGAAAAGCUUCAAAAAAUGGAUAAGUGAGUCUACACGGAAGACCUAGCAGUGGAAGCCACAGAAGCAGCCAAUCAAGGUGAUCAGGAAAAUAUAUGCAAGAUGUCAAAAUUGGUAUGCAAAAAGCUCCAGGCCAGAUGCAGUUGUCCCAUGAGAGAUAAAAUUGGUUUGGUGUUGACAACUAAUAAAGAUCAAGGAGCACGAUGGACAGUGUAUUUCAGAGAAUUACUGAAUAGAACACCACCAGAUGAAGACCCUGACAUACAAGAAGUAGCAAUGGAUCUAGACAUCAAUGCAACCCAAGAAAGAAGAGAUUGUUGCUGCGAUUAAAUCAUUAGAGAACAGCAGGACAUGAUAUUUUGAACACCGAACUGUUCAAAGCUGAACCAGAAGUUGCAGCAGCCAUUCUGCAAUCACUGUUUAUUAUAAUCUGGGAAUGGGGACAAGUACCCAAGGACUGGACAAAGGGAGUUAUUGUUAGGAUCCACAAGAAAGGAACACUGAGUGAUUGAAACAACUGGUGCAAAAUCACACUUCUGUCAGUGACUAGCAAGGUUCUCAACAAAGUCAUUGUCCAGUGGAUUACAGAUACUGUUUAUGAGUGCUUGAAGAAGGAGCAAGAUGGCUUCAGGAAGAAUAAAGGUUUUGUCGGUGAGAUCUUCAGACUGUGGAAUGUCAUAGAGCAGAACGCAAAGUGACAGUGACAACUACACACACAUUUCAUGGACUUUGAAAUGGCAUUUGUUAGCAUCAACAGGGAGAACUUCUGGUGAAUUCUCGGGCCACAGAGGAUUCGUUCCAAAAUUGUCCUGCUUAUCUUGAGUUUGUAUACUAAUUCCACAUUUGGAGCAUGUAAAGUUCUAGUUAUUGCAUUACAGAAAAGAAGUGGGUACUUUGGAGAGGGUGCAGAGUAGAUUCAGCUUAGUGUUGUUUUGAUUGGAGCAUAUUAACUGUAAGGAGAGGUUAAGAUAAAACAACAAGAUUGAUCAACGAAGAACCAAGUGGUGCUAGCAAAGUUUAAACUGGUCACUGGUGAGUCAGUGCCUCUUGCCAAUAAUGUCAACUAUGGCUCCCAUCACUUUACUGAACAUUGUGUAGAUGAGUUGGGCCAUUAUUGUCUAACUAGAUUUGUCCUGUAUUUCGAGAAUGGACAUACUGGGCAACUUUUCCCAUUUUUGUGCAGAUGUCAGUGUUGUAUCUGUACUGGAGCAGUUCAGUUGGAACCAUCAGUAUAAUGGCAUUGGGCCAGAGCACAGAUUUCCUGUUUGCAGCGUAAAUAACCACCACCUUCAAUCUGAGCCAAUCUCUGUUUUCUUCCCAUAGAACCCAAUAUUUAUGUUUGGUUUAAGUCAGCUUUAUAUUGUUACUUCCCAGAGGACAGAUGUCUCCAUACUUGCAUGGACCCCUUCUCCCUUCAGACUUUCAGUCCCAUUAGUCAUUCCUCUUUUCAAUAAUACUGUAGAAGAAUUGCUUAUUGGUAUUGGUCCCUGAAUCAGAAAAGUAUUUCUUGGCAUUCAGCAGCGAGUUUAUUAUUUUUAGUAUGCCUAUUUCCUCUGGAAGGUCCCCUGUUCAGAUUAAGUCAAGCCACAUCUCCUACAGGAAGCUGAGAAGGAUAUAGCCUCUAUAUCACUGUCCAGUUUCAUCCACCUGUUAAGAAAGAAAAUAUGAAAUGAGUUUCUGGUAAAUCAACAGCUGCACACAGAGAUUCUGUACAAAUUUAUCCCAUGCACUUUGUGUCAGAAGGAGGUUGUUCAGCCCACUUUUUUAAGCUGAUCUGUGUCCAAUCUCCAUCUACCUUCUUUGGCUCCACAUAUAUUAAUAAUUGAACAAACAAAAUUCUAUUAACUUUGAAGUUUCAACUGACAUGGCUCUCCAGUCUUGACCACUUCUCAGGGAGAGUUCCAGAUUUCCAGUGCCCUGUAUACCCUGAAAUAACACAUUCUUUAUGUUAUUCUUCUGUGCCAUCCUUGAAUGUUUUUAAGUUGCCCAAUUGCACUUGCUUUCAAUUUCCACACUUCAGGGAACAGAAGACCAGACCUAAUAUGCUAACUAAACCUGUCCCAGUAGCACUUCACUGGCCCCCUUCCCAACAGAAAUACCAAACCGCUCCCAGCCAAGGAAAACACACCCUUCCUGAAGAGUGAUGCCAAGAAUCACUGCCAGUGCUCCAGAUGUGGUCUAACUAGAUCUCUAAUCCAUAGCUGUGUCAUAUCCACCACUCUGUACCCCUGUUUUCCUCAUUAACUGCAGCACAUGAGAACUUUAGCUUAAAUUCAUCCUUAGGAUUAAUUAGAACCCAAACUUGCCACGGGUCUCUCAUCCAAAGUAAACCUUGCACAUUCCCUCUUUCCACUGGGAUUGUUUAUUCCCUUAUGGAAUCUGUGUCAGUCAGCUGACACAGCAGAAACAAGACCUCUCUUGAAACACGAGCUCACCAAACAACAACCUCAGUGACUGUGGGCAGUUUACCUCCUUAUGUUUCUCACCACACCUGACUAUUUUCAUGUGUACCUGCUUCGACCCACCAUUGGCUUGUAUUCAUUACAGAUUGUUCGAAAUUUUCUAGGCUUACAGCUGUAAGUUAAAAAUCUCACAGCUGGCUAAUCUGUUCCGGCUCCCUCUGCCUCUUUGUCCCAUUCUGAAUUGAGAUAUGGAACAUGCUCCAUCCUAGUCUCUCUACACCCAUGACUGUGUGGCUAGGCACAGCUCAAAUGCCAUCUUCACAUUUGUCUGUUGUUGGCAGAAUCUCAGAUGGUGACGAGGAGGUGUACAGAAGUGAGAUAGAUUGGCUGGUAGAGUGGUGUCGCACCAACGACCUUCACUCAGCGUCAGUAAGAAUAAUGAAUUGAUUGUGGCCUUCGGGAAGGGAAUGUGGGGGUACACACAUUAGGUAUCACUGAGGGAUCAGCAGUGGAAAGAGUGAGCAGUUUCAAAUUCCCAGCUGUCAACAUUGCUAACUGGGUCCAACUUAUUGAUAAAAUGACAAACAAGGAACAUUAGAGAUUAAAUUUCAUUAGGAGUUUGAGAUGUUUUGGUGCCUCGAAAAGCCGCAUCCAUUGUUAAAAACUCACAUCAUACAGGACAUGUUCUUUUCUUAUUACUACAUCAGAGAGGAGGCACAGGAGCUGGAGACGCACACUCAACAAUUCAGGAACAGCUUCCUUCCCUCUGCCAUCAGAUUUCUGACCAGGCAAUGUAUCAAUUCAUCAACACUACCUCAUAUUUAUAUAUACAUUUAUUGUAAUUUAUAAUUUUUAAUGUGUUGCACUGUACUGCUGACACAACACAACAAAUGUCAGUGAUAUUAAACGUGUUUCUGAUACCGAUGGGAGUGAAGGCAGAAACUAGUUGAGUCUGACGAUCUGAUAUACCUGACCUUAGGUGACUGGUCUGGGCCCAACAGCUGCUACUGGGAAACAACAGUUCCUGAGAAAGAGUUUGGGAAGGAAAAAUGAAGGGAGAAUAAAGAGAGAGGAACAUGCAGAGGAAUGAAGGAGGAAGAGGAUACGAGACAUGAAGUGGGAGAGAAUGAAAUGGAGAGGAAGUGAUAAGAGGGGUGACAAAGGGGAAAAUGGAAAUGAGAGAAAUAUGACAUGGAUAUGCAGUGAGUGAGGGGGAACAGGAGAGUGAAAGUCCUAGGAAGAGAUAAAGAGAGUCGGAGAGGAACAUGGUGAAGAAAAGUAAACUCAAUAGAUUUUGUUUCCCUCCUGAAACUCUGGUACUACACAGACUUAAAUGAAAUGUACAGCAGAGGAGCAGAUUCAGACCAAUAAUUUCAUGCCAUUGUUCAUUUUCUGCAUGAACCUUCAGUCACUCCAUCUUUGUGCAACUGGGUUAUCUUUUCUGUCUGUUCCCUUUCUCCACAUUCACUUCUGUGGAGAGACUACAUUCUCCCCACUCCCUGGAUAGAUAAUCCAAAUAGUUUUAAUCCUCCUGAAGACUGAACCACCAUUCUCCUCCACCCUAUCAGGUAAUUUUAUGUGGAAAUGUGCUUUACACUUCAACAUUCUCAUGACCCUCCUAUCCAGGGUGUAUUUGAGCAUCAAAACCAUUCACGUGUUACUAAUAUGGUCAAAAAUGUCCCCCUGUUUUCACAGGAAAGAGCCCUAAAGUUGAAUCCAGUACAUUGCAGCAUCAAAGUGACAGUGCCCCGACUGGGAGAAAUUCAUGGGACUGGGUAAGAGGAGAGUACAGAUUGUUUUUUGCCGAAGUUAAAGCAGAGGUUUUCAUGCCUGCAUUAACCUGGGUGAAACUUCAUGAAACCCCAGUUCUGUUUGCUCCAUUGUAAGGAUGUGGAGGCUUUGGAGAGGGUGUAAAAGACAUUCACGAGCAUGUUGCCUGGAUUACAGAAUAUUACCUGUAAGGAGGGGUUGAACAAUCUUUGACUGUUUACCCUGGAGCGUAGGCUGAGAGGCAACCUGAUAGAGGCUUAUGAAAGUAUGAGAGUCAUCAAUAGGGUUGUUACAAGAAUCACCCCUUGUAAUAAUGAUCUGGGAAGGACAGAGAAUCUGUAUUUACUGACAAGUAACUUUUAUUGUCUCAACUCAAAAGCACGUGGGUUCACAAACUAAUUACCUGUGUGCACCUGACUAGAAUCCCUGACCCUCCAUGAACAGUCAAUGAAGACAAAAGGUAUUACCCGGGAAAGGAGUCAACGCUGGCCAGGCAUUCCUCAUGGUCCCAAUCUCCAUGUAUCAGUGAGGUCCUACUUGUGCACAAUGGUUGGUCUCUGGUUACUGGAGAGUUAUCACCCCUGUUUAUUUGGAGUUCCUGAUUCUUACAGUGUUGCUCAUCAAUUGAACUGGUGGAUCUCCAUCCCAUUGGCUCAAGGUCACCUGACCUACCUCAGUCACCUUCUUACUGGUCAUUGUACAGGGCUACACUAACAUUGUUUCAUGGUUCUGCCCAUCCCAGCCUAGUGUAUUUGAGUCUUUCAACUCUGACCGGUCCAAACCAGUUAAAUGAAGUGACCCGGACAGCGUCAAACAAGAUAACAGAUUUUUUUUGUUUAACACAAAGUACACUGCAGAUGCUAUGGUCAAAUCAAGACGUACAAAAAAGCUGGAUGAACGCAGCAGGUUGGGCACCAUCCAUUGAAAGGAGCAGUCAAUGUUUCGAGCUGAGACCCUUCGUCAGGACGUCAAAGAUUUUUUUCUUUGGUAGGUUUGGCAUUUUGCAUAGUAAGUACCUACUCAUUCAAGAAUGGUCUCACAUUUAGCAGGUCACUACCAGAAAUUCCUUGCAUCCACAUUCAAUUGCUCUGAUUAGAUCGCCCCAGAGUAACAAUCAGCUCAGAGUCCAAAAUGUGGGGAAAAAAAGACAACUGGUUUGUCUGCCUCGCCUGUCCUUGAUUAGGCUGGAGUUUCUUCUGGCGGACAGGAUAGACAGUCAGAGUUAUUUUUCCAAGGUAAAAUGUUGUAUCCAAAAAUACAUAGACUUAAGUUGAGGGGUAUAACAUUCAAAGGAGAUUUGUGGGUUGUAUUUUUUACACAAAGUGAUAGGUGCCUGUAAUGCACUGGAAGGAGUGGUGGUGAAUCAGCAUGAUAGUACAGUUGAGAUACAUUUGAAAAACACAUGACCAUUCAGGAUAUGGAGGGAUAUGGAUUCUGUGCAGAUAGUUCGCUUUAGAUUAACUUGGUGUUAAGGUUGUCACAGUCACAAUGGGCUGAAGGGCCUGUUCCUGUGCUGUACUGUUCUGUGUUGUAGGUUUACUUGAAGCUCAGUAACUAUUUGUUAUUAAUAGCUGACAGAUGUCUGAAACUCUGCGAUAACAUUAACACUCAGUCCUUACACUUCCUCUCCGGUUUCACAGGCAGGUUUAAUUUGAGCAGGGGGCCCUCCCAGUGGAGCUGUGUUACUAACAAGAAUAAACACACUGCUUUACAUAUGGAAAUACAAUUCUAACAUUGUGUUUUGCACCAACCAACAGGUUCACGUUUACCAUACAGAAUGAAAUGAAAUCAAUCAAAAUCAAAGGUCAAACGACACAGAGACAGCAAGACCCUCUCCUCAUUACAGAGCAUUUGCCACGAGUCAGAAAUGGGCUCACUGUAAUGAUGAUUGAGUGUUACUGAUUGAUUUAUUGAUUAUGUUAUGGGAAUGAGCAGUUCAAAUGUAUGUACACUUGCACUUUAUGUUCUGAAGCAGUUGGGAGACUGCCACCAACUACUUAAAGUGUGUUUGCUCAGACUGAGCACUAAGGUCCAUCUUGGUGAUCAGAUAAUUGUGAAUUGUCAUCAAUAAAGUGAAAAAGAAGGAGAAACUAAAAGAUGCCACAGACUGCCUUGUCAACGUUACACCGAUGGGUGGGCAGAAUCCCGGUGUGACAUGCUGAUGUUUGUUGAUGAGAACAAUUGCUGCCCAGUGAAUAAAGCUUAGACUGAAACAGCAACACAUACCAUAAUCACUUUGGAUCACUGUGGGAAUUGGGGGUUAUCAUUGGCCUGGAAGCUCUCAGGCCCUGAAGAUCAAGGAUAACAAACUUGCAGAUUCAGAGACAUUCAAUAAUCUGUUACCUAAUUGUCAUUGACAGGUUAUCAGCUGAUGAGGUCUGCAAGAAUAGAUGUUUAGUCAACCUUUCUCUCUGGCAUCAGGACAGUAAAAUUUGUAGUUUUACUCCUACAAGAGCCUUGGGCCAAUAGCUUGCUGUUUGAUUUUUGUGUUCACCUUGAAUUAAAUAACGUCACCUGACCUGGAUUUGAGUCUCUUUAAACCGUGUAUCAAUCUUGGUAAGAACAUAUUGAUAGAUCUCACAAUAACUGUCCCGAGGAAGGUACCAGGAUGAUACUACCUUAUCAUUUUGGGAAGUUGGCCCUUUCAGGUUUUGGAUUGGACGGCAUAGUUGUAAUUUUCAUUGUAGUUUAACUUUCUUGUGUUUGUUUGUCUUUAAAUAAUUAGUUAUAUACAUGUAAUUGCUCAGUGAGUUGCCAUUGCCUGUGUAUCUCCUGGAAACUCCCACUUUCAGUGGCGGGUAUCACAUUGCUCGAAUAGGGACUAUUUUAUUGUUUAAUUUAAGCAAUGGAAUUUGAAUAGAAUGUCUGCUACCAGUUUUCAGCGGUCAUAAGCAACGGGUUUUAACGCCCCUUCUUGACUGCUGAAGAACUUUGAGUUCAGGACCCAACACAAGUUUAAGUUUUAAUUAAUGAAUCCAUCAGACAGGCUGGGAAACCCAGCAUUUGGUAGUGCAGUGGGUUAGCAGAGUGCUUUAUGGUGCAGGCAGCCUGGGGUUCAAUUCCUGCCACAGCCUGUAAGGAAAUUGUAAUGUCUCCCCAAGAAUGUGUGAGUUUCCACCGGGUACUCUGGUUUCCUCUCACAGUCCAAAGUCUAAAGUACCUCAGUUUGAUACUUUAACUGGUCACUGUAAAUUGUCCUGUGAUGAGACGAGGAUUAAAUCGGGAUUCCUGGGCAGUGUGGCUCGAAGGGCCAGAAGGGCCUUUUCCAUGCUGUGUGCCAAUAAAUAAAUGAAUUAAAUAAUUUACAUGGACUUUACUGAUUUUUCCCAUGAGUUCAUUCUGAAAUGAUUCCUGAGUUUCCUCUCACCCUCCUCCAUAUGGGAGUCCAGUCCUACUGUCAAUUACUCUGUCUGAGGAGCUUCCUCAACAAAGUCCACAGAUUCAUUCUAGUGAAUUUAAACCUGCAGUCUGUGUCUUUCUCUUCCUCUUUAAUUUAAAUCCAUCUUAUGGAUGUCAUUUCCAUUCCCUUCACUCUUCCAUCACUCUGUGUCAGACGUCUCAGUGAGUCAGUAAAUUGUGGUGCAAACCAUUUCAGCACAUCAUCCCGUUGGACUGAGGCAUUGCUUCCAGAUUCCUCCUCUGACCAGACAAUUCCUCACCUGCCAUUCCCUCUCCUUCUAUGACCUGACAUCUGAUUUAUGUUCCUGUUAAACACCUUCUGCUGAUUUCCUAUACUAAAGCCACACUGUAAAUGCCAGUGGUUGCUUUUGGGUAAAAUGGUCUGAUUAUUCUGCAUUGCAGACCAACCAUGUCCACAAAUGAACCACAAAAGUUUUUGAUGAUGAAUGGGGGCUGAGUUGCAAGGAAGUCACAUUUUCUAUUAGAAUGUGCAAGAGCGUAGAAAAUAAAAUCAGAAAACAGCGAGGUAGACAGUGUCUGGGAAAGAACAUUAAUCACUGGUGAUUCAGGUCUGCAUGCCCCUUCAGAUUGUAAUGGGGUGACACUUAUCUCUUUUGAUGGUUAGUCCGGGGAACACUUACAAG